AGUACAUAAACUGAAAAGAAAUUAAUGUUAUCGUAGCCAGUAAAAAAAAAAAAAUGAACCCUCAUGUAUUCACGAUUUUUUUUUGGGUUAAUUAGUUUUAAGUUGCAUGUAAUUUGUACCCUGGUCAGUAGAAUAUUUAAAAGUUAGGAAUGAAUAAUCGUUCUUUCGUGACCCGUCCACGCCCUACCGAUCGGUUAGGUAUCAUCCAUUAUCAUUUGAUUUAUUUAGGAAAUCGAAAGUUAUUUUUAUUUCACUUUGGACCAUUUUACAUUUUUACUGACAAAGCUUUUCUAUGUCUCUUGUAAAUCAAAGGACAAUAUUAUUGUUUUUCGUAAACAUUUUUCGCUUCGUGACAUCAUUCGGAAGCACUUCGAGCAUUACAAUUUUCGCUCUUCCAAUGUAUAUUCUGGACGACGAACGUAACGCGUUUUCCCAGGGUCUUAUAAAGUUCCUUCUCUCUCUCUCUCUCUCUCUCUCUCUCUCUCUCUCUCUCCCUCCCUCCUUCCUUCCUUCCUCUCUCUCUCUCUCUCUCUCUCUCAUUUAUGCGAUCUAUUUUCACGAAAACGGAAAGCACGGUGAAAAGUAUUUGAUCGAUUUAAAAUGCCAAGUUUGCGCUAAACGCACAAAAGUUUCUCUUACUGAAAAUUACUAAUUUGGUGGAGCGAUAAUUAAACUCCGUAGAAAAUCGACUAUAUCCGAGUUCUAUUCUCGAGAAUUGCUUUCAGGAAAAGCGAGAAACGAGAGUCGAAGAAACAAUUGAAGAUAAUCGAGCGUAACGCCAGAGUUUCAGAUAUAAAAUUAAAAAAAAAAAAAAAAAAAAAAAAAAAACAAAACAGGAAAAAAAAAGAAAACAGAAGAACGAAAGAAAGAAAGAAAGAAAAGGAAAGAAAAGAAAAAGGAUAAAGAAAAAAUUAAUAUCUUCUCGUAGAAUUUAGUUUAAAUCACGGCGUGAAAUCGUCGUAUAAAAUGAUCUUUCUUAUUUAGAGAAGAUCCAUGGAGGAUACCAUGCGGAAUGUUUCAAGUCGGAGACGUGGUAGCGUCGUCUAGGAAUUCGGCGUGAUUCUCAAAAUUACUAGAUUCUUCACGUGCACGGAUCGUAUAGCCGCCAGGAGCACUAUUACCACCAUCCAACGUAUGAAGUUCCACCUUGAAAUAUUUCCGCUCGUUCGGUGAAAAGAAGAGAGAGAAAGAGAAAGAGAAAGAGAGAGAGAGAGAGAGAGAGAGAGAGAGAAAAGGAGAGUGAGAAGGAAUAAAAAUGUGAUAAAAUAAAAAGGAAUGCAUAUUUUUCAUGUCGAAUGUCAACUACAUUCGUUUUGUUCUCGAAAUAAGUAGAGUUAUAUUAUUUCGCGAGUAGAAAGGUAAUAGCAGAAAAUGAAGUUAAAAAUAAUCCAUUCGUAGUAAAACGAAAUAGUAAAUUUCACGUUUCGUAAAUUUCCACCUCUUCUAUUCCCUUAUAUAUUAUAUUUCUCAUUUGUUUUCUUUUUCUCUUUCCUUAUUUCUUUCUUCUAUCCUCGUCCUAUCGAGACAAGUCAAUGAUAAUAAAACACUAUAAUAGAAUUGAUUUAAUUCAUCUAUGGUUUAAUUCAACAAUUUUUGUAAAAAAAAAAAUAAAGAAAAAUAAGAAGAAAAAAAAAGAAAACAAAGAGAAUAAAAUAUACUCUGAAAAUAUCAAGAAUCGAACAGGAAACAGGUUUGACAUUACAAAGAAGGGUGAGUGAAAAGGGGGUGGAUCGUAUCCAUCGUCGAGAACCACGAAACGAGAGGAACACGAAAGAAAGAAAGAAAGAAAGACUAGCGUGUACGGGCUAAGUAUUGAUUCUACGCAACGAAACACGCGAACGUUUUCAGUCAACGGCUCCUUCAACGACGACUAUGGUGAUGACGACGAGAAGUAUAUACGCGAUUAUAUGUGAUUGUUUAUAUAUAUAUAUAUAUAUAUAUGUGUGUGUGUGUGUGUGUGUGUGUGUGUGUGUCUGUGUAUGUAUGUGUUUAUAUGUAUAUGUAUUUCUAUGUGCAAGGAGUACAGAAGUCACUCAACCCCAGGUAAACAGCCACUACCAACGUCAACUUCAGAAACAGGAACAACCGCAGUUUUUUACGAGCGCGAACUUUCUGGCCGCAUAAACGUUAAUAACGCGGCAAAUUUAAUUAACUAAAAGCAUUGAGGACUCAACUAAAGACUGUUUCGAUCCUUCGAUCGUGUGCCUUAGGAAUAAUGUGACGAAGGAAUAAUGUGUCUCGUUCGCGCCUCGUUAUAUGCUAAAGGAUGUGGUUUUUAGUGAAGAGAAGUUUUACGAAUCACGCGACUACAAUCGAAUGACCUUCUUUUUCUUUGCUCUUUACCAGUAUUUCAUUUUCCUGUUUUUAUUGUGUUUCUUUAAAUUGUAUACAGAAAUGAUAAUGAUGUCGCAUUUUAUGAUCAUAAGCGAUAAAUUUAAAAUGAAUUUGGAACGUUCGUCGUUAUUAUCGGAUAUUUUGAAAAUUGCAACGAAAUUGUUAACAAGCUCGGAUCGACGUUAUAUAAAUAAAUCAACGAUGGAUAAUACGGUUCUUGGCGAUUUUGCAACGAACCAACGAAGAAAAUUAUUUUGACAAUGUUAUGGAAAAUGCGUGUGCCGCUUUUAAACGAGGAUGUAAACUUGGCAGGCGUUAGCGUGCACGUUGAAAAAAUAAACAGCAGUAAAUAAUCGAUGUAAAGCUUUGUAUCGUGUUUCUCGCUUCGCAGUUUCCCGACAUUUAUUGCUUAUAAACGAGUGACUUUUGCAACAUAGCUAUCGAUAUAAAUCGAAUUAUUUCCAUGCUAUUGACACGAUUAAUUCAAUUUCAAUGGAACCCUGACGCUGCUUUUUUCGGUUUUUUUUUCCUCGAAUUGAUUGGACCCACGACACUUCGUAACAUUUACGAACGGUCGAGAACCGAAUGAGAACUCGAUAAUGAUUCUGCGAUCCGUCUCGAUGGAAUUCGUUUUAGAACAGACCGUCUAUUAUCUCACAGUACCCUAUUACAAAUUGAAACGCAAUUGACUCGAAUCAAAUGUCAACGCUAACGUAAGCUUUUCUUUUCUUUCGUUUAGUCGAUUCACGUUGCUGACUUAAUCUCGCGAUUAUCUCGUUAUAUUAAACGUAUUUGAUUCUGAAUAAAAAAUGAAAUGUAAAUCAAAAUAAAGAAAUAUUUUUCUCCGCGCAUCGAUCUAUUUUAUUUACUUUAAUUAGAAAGAGCAAACGUAUUUUAUGAUCUUUCCAUAAUUUAUACAAAUAUUACUGCAAUUAUUAUAAUAUUUUCGUUUCGAUCAAAUUUAUUAUAUAAGAUAUUAUAUAUAUAUAUACAUAAUAAAUAAUUUUUACGUACGAGAGGAUAUGAUUCUUAAUAAAAAAGAAAAAAAAAGAAAAGUAUUGAUAGAGAAUUAAAUCGAGUCAGCACUAUUUUUAUCGAAAAAAGAGAAAGUGAUUUGCGAUAUAAAGCACAGUAUUGUUUUCUCAUCAGUUAAGUCUUUCUUUGGCCCUCUUCGAAAAUGAAACCGGGAGAUCUCGAAUUUAUCGUUGGCCGUUCUGUGGCAAUCGAAUUGGAAGGUCCACGUUCUUAUCCGAUUCACGUUCGACAAGGCCGUCCUGUGCUUUGAUAUUCCUUCGGGGCACGCCGUCCCAGCGAUACGUUCGAUACAUCGCACACGAAUCGCAUUAAUAACGAAGAGAUAUUUGCAUUACACUUGCACGCGCGACCGCGAUCCGAUCGCUCUUCAAAUUCAUGCUGGUUUGACCGAUCGGGAGUUAUUAGAGAUGAGAUCGGCGAAUACGCAUGUCGAAUCCCAAGCAAUUCGACACAUCAAUUUGAUAUUAAUUGUAAAACCUCAAAGAGUGUUAUAUUCUAAUAUUCUAUUAAUGUUAUAAAGUAUCCUUGGAUAUUUUUGUGGAAAACGUAUAAAAAUUCAUUUUCGUCAUAUCCCAAUUGAUAUAAACUAUUAUAUUAUAGAUAUACAUAUGUAACACGUUAAAGCUGAUUUUAAUUCAUUAUAUCAAAAUUUAAUACCUAUGUCUAUUUAACAUUUAAUCCAUUUUACGAAUAAUUUGAUCUAUAAUUAAUAUUGUCCCAAUUGAUUCCCUAAAUGUUCAUUUGGUUUAGAGAGUUAGUUGCCAAAAUAGCGUAGAAAUGAAAAUUGAUCAUAGCUUGCAUGACAAAAUAAUAUUUGGCUAGUACUGUCCACGUGAAUCCUCAUUUCAUAUUGAAAUAAAUAUAAAAUAUUGAAAUUCAUAAAUAGCUCGUUGAUUGAAACAAGUUACUUAAUUAUGUUGCCGUUGAGAAAAUGUAAAUGACAAAAAACAGAUAUAAAAAAAAAAGUAAAUGGAGUUUUGGUAUAAUCAAUAUUAGUCCACGUAUUGCAGACUCAUUAAUAUCGAAUAAUAUUUUUCCGAAACUUCAAUUGAUCGCUUAUACAACUCUAGUUAGUUCAUUAUGGCUAAUUAAUCAAAACUUUGCUUGUAUGAUUAAUUAUAUUCACCGUGAGUCAUACUUACAACAUUUAAUGUUUCAGACUAUGCAUUGGUAUCUAUAUAAACUGAUAUUUAAAAUGCGUGAAAUUAAUUUAUUAAACUAUUUUCGUAGGAAGGGGAACGAAUUUGAAAACCUUCUCUUUGUGCACCCUUCGUAGAGUACAAAAGAGUUAGAAUCUAUUGUAGCACAGCGUACUCUCCGAAACACGUAACCUCUAGGGACUUUAAAAGAACUUAACAAGGAGUUAACUUCGAGAAAAAUACGGUGCGCUUAGGGAAAGCAGAACAACGAAGGAGAUAAAGGAAGAGGGUUAAAGAGAGAGAAAAAAAGAGAAUGAGAGAAAGAAAGAGGGAGAGAGAGAGAGAGAGAGAGAGAGAGAGGGUUAGGAAAAGAGAAAAAAGAAAAAAGAGAAGAGAUAGGACUCUGAGGUUAACGUUAACUCUCCCUUGUUCUACGUGGAGUUAAAUUCGAUCCACAGCUUUACGACUUUCCAACACACCAACUGACGUUUA